UUCGUCAAAAGGUCACUGACUUGGAGUGCAGGAUAAAUACCUUUUCUUCCUGCAGUGGAGACAGUUUGGAAGUCCUGUCAUGUUGUAAGGAAUUGAAAACAAGAUCCAAAGAAACAGAGGGAUGCAGGAGAAGAGUGUAUGCAAGGCUGUAAGUCUUUUCUCCCACACGUUGGAGGCCACCAUCCUUCCCUUACCACUGACAGGUUCAGAGGCCUUACAAGGAGUAACCAAAGCCUGUUGGACUUACCACAUCCUUAGAAGAACAUCGUCACUGGAUAUAACCAAAAACUGCUCUUAAAAAAAGCGAGAAAAGGCGAGGACUAAAAUAGAAGGGCGAAAAAGGAAGAUUUGAACUGGAGAAUGUGAUCAAUGAGUUAAAUUAAAGAUGCUAAAUGGGAAGAGAAGAGAGCUAGACCUCUCACUAAUGAAGGAGUAAAAGAACUUUUGAUUUCAAAAUGACUGACUAGACAUAAAACCAAUUAGCUAAAUUCAGACAAAGGAACAUACUAUGCCUCCAGGAUAAACUGAGCAAACUCAUAUGGCAAAGUGCAAGGUAGUGUGGGAUCUGAGCAUAUUUUUGCAGUAGGCCCUUUGAAGUCUCUCAGCUAGAGCUCAAAAUCAUACAGGAUUUCAUCAGAACUACUGUGCACUUCAUUUGCUCAACAGCGCAUUUGUGCAUAUACGUUUUUGGGGGCAGGUUUCCAAACAUUUAAUGCCUCUUUCCUUCCUUUGGGAAAGGAUAAUUUCGGUCAUUGGUCUCUAAAGAACUUUUUCCAACAACGGUUUUGAUUUGCUCAAGGAAAGGGAAUGGGAAUUCUAUUAGAAGCAAAUGCAUAGCAGAGACAUCUACUACUGCCCUUUAACUGCUUGAGACUUUGCUCUUGUGUGUUUUAUUCACCUCAUAAAAAAAGCUUAGAACCUUGUAAAAAAUAUAUAUCACAGAAAAGAUGUGGGACUUAGCACAAAUAUAUACCACACACAUAGGGUGGUCUUUUCUUUGCAUGUAUUCAAUAAAUGCUUUUGUUGUUGUUGUUUUUGUGAACUUCCCAUUGUUUCUUCAUAUUUGAAUUUGAUUUAGCUUGGACCACACUACCUCCAUUGUUGUAGGUUUUUUCCUGUCUUACCAAGUUUAUAGCUACCCAAUAAAGAAAAAAGAGCAAAAGAUACACUUCGUUAUCAGAGCCAAAGUAUGCAAAUGCUUAAGAAGUAAUGUCCACAUUCAUCUUAAUUAAACUGUAAGAGCAUAUAAAACUUAAUACUUUCUGCAUAGUGAUUUUUGAUACAGGACUAGAACUUUUGCUAGCCAAAAUAUUAUGGCUUAGAGGACUGGAACUGAUACCCAGCCGUCCUAUGUAGGUUUUGAAUCUGGAAGGUUCCGAAAACAGUGUUUUAAACUAGUAUUUGAAAAUAUUUGGGUAAUAUUCAUAGUCAGACCCCAAAGGGAUUUUUACAUUCUUUCAUUAGGUCAAAGGCCUAUAUUAAGUGAGGCGGAGGACACAGCAGGCUUCCUAGUGGCCAGUCAUCCAUCAGUAAAAUUACUGUCUUCGUUGCUUCUGCAGUUGCUGCUCUUCAUUCACGUUCUCACUGGAGAAGCCAAAGACUGUGUGGAAUGUGGAUGCUGAAGCAUGGUCUAAAUUAUCUUUCUUUUGCAAGGCAGAAGUUUACUUUUCAGCACAGUCUUUAAUUGCAUAGAAGAAGUUAGGCAGAGUAUUUGCACCAGCAUGCUACUUAUUAUCAACAUGGUUUUCAUUUGAGAACUGUUUUUAUAAAAAUCUAGUUGAGAUUACGCUCCUUUUUUAACAUGUUGGACUUUAUUUUUCUUAAUCUUAGGAUCACUCAAGCUUCCUGCCGAGGAAUAGUUCAUCCAUGACACUCCUUUAUUUAUUUUAGUGUGCUGUUUCUCAUCUGAGAUGGAUUUGUAGUGCUACCUUUUAGUAUCAACUUAAGCUUUCAAGGGUCAGAAAAGCCCAUGAAAAUCACUGUUUUGACCUACUGGGUAUUAUUAGCAAUUGCAAAUCAUGCUUGUAGCCCUGUCUGGACCCAACAGUUGCAGUUAGAUUAAACCAUUUUGCAGAAAAAGAUGGUUUGACCGGUAAGCCUGAAUUACCGUUCUUAUGGAGCACUGCAGGAAUCUCUGUGAAAUGAUUUAUUUUUUUUUUAAGAAAAUUUUUUUUGUUAGGGGAAGACUUCAGAUGAAAGUUAUUACUUUUUGUUUUUGAGUUAAUUGUUGCAAUUUUGUGUGUGUAUGUGUGAAGGAGGGACCAUUCUUUGGCAUCUCCAGUUAGAUGUCCUUUGCAUAGCAGAGGUUUGAAGAAACAGCAUUUUCCAAAUGAAGGUUUCAGCAGUUUCUUUUUGGUAUCAGAGCAUUUGGAAUUCUGCUUCUACAUUUAGAAAUGGAUACCUAACAGAAAGUGCAUUUGUUCCUCCCUUUUUUCCUUCCUUCUCUCUCACCUGACUGAAUAUGACAGUGAAUAUCGAGUUCUUGAAAGAAGUUGGUAGAUUGUGCUUUUUCAAAAGUAAGUGGUAUUUAAUGUAGCCAUUUUACAGUCCUGAUUUCUAUAGAAAUUUCACAGGGAUUUGAAACAUGUGGCUGAUGAUGUAGAAGAUCUGUAAAAACUUUAAGGAGUUGAAUAAGCUUUAAUGAUGUGCUGGGCCAAAUAUGCUCAAAGCUAAGUGAGCUCAAACAGGCCUUAAUGCAUAUGGAAGUAGAAUACUUACAUGGACAGCGUAAACCACUGAGUGUGAAGCAUUACUUUCCUAGUAGCCAAUGUUCUGUAAAGCUGGCUGGGACUUGGAGCUCUUGGAAGCAGCCUGCUUCCAUGGGACCUGCUUCCAUGAAACCUCCUUACAGGGCUGUAGUUAAGUGCUGUAUCUGUGCCCUCAGGAGUUACUCUUA